AACGAACGCUGGCGGCAGGCUUAACACAUGCAAGUCGAACGCCCCGCAAGGGGAGUGGCGCACGGGUGAGUAACGCGUGGGAAUAUGCCCUUCGGUUCGGGAUAACACAGGGAAACUUGUGCUAAUACCGGAUACGAUCUACGGAUGAAAGAUUUAUCGCCGAGGGAGUAGCCCGCGUAGGAUGAGCUAGUUGGUGACGUAAUGGCUCACCAAGGCGACGAUACUUAGCUGGUGUGAGAGGAUGAGCAGCCACACUGGGACUGAGACACGGCCCAGACUCCUACGGGAGGCAGCAGUGGGGAAUAUUGGACAAUGGUCGAAAGCCUGAUCCAGCCAUGCCGCGUGAGUGAUGAAGGCCUUAGGGUUGUAAAGCUCUUUCGCCAGGGAAGACAAUGACGGUACCUGGAAAAGAAGCCUCGGCUAACUCCGUGCCAGCAGCCGCAGUAACAC
rnacentral:rRNA from 1 species